UGAAACAGGGGGAUAGCUUCCGGAAACGGGGAUUAAUACCGCAUACGAUUCAUUUGUGGCCUCACAAAUGGAUAAAAGCUACGGCGGUUUCAGAUGGCCAUGCGUACCAUUAGUUAGUUGGUGAGGUAAAGGCUCACCAAGGCGAUGAUGGUUAGGGGUCCUGAGAGGGUAGUCCCCCACACUGGUACUGAGACACGGACCAGACUCCUACGGGAGGCAGCAGUGAGGAAUAUUGGUCAAUGGGCGCUAGCCUGAACCAGCCAUGCCGCGUGCAGGAAGACGGCCCUACGGGUUGUAAACUGCUUUUCUGCAGGAAGAAUAUAUAGUCUUAGGGGUAUAUUGACGGUACUGCAGGAAUAAGCAUCGGCUAACUCCGUGCCAGCAGCCGCGGUAAUACGGAGGAUGCAAGCGUUAUCCGGAUUCAUUGGGUUUAAAGGGUGCGCAGGCUGUAAGGCAAGUCAGUGGUGAAAGCCCUGGGCUUAACUCAGGGAUUGCCAUUGAAACUGUUUUACUAGAGUGUAGUAGAGGACGGCGGAAUGAGUUGUGUAGCGGUGAAAUGCAUAGAUAUAACUCAGAACACCUAUUGCGUAGGCAGCUGUCUAUACUACAACUGACGCUGAGGCACGAAAGCGUGGGGAGCGAACAGGAUUAGAUACCCUGGUAGUCCACGCUGUAAACGAUGAUCACUCG
rnacentral:rRNA from 1 species